CGUUUCUACACCCCCCUCCUCUCCUCCUCCUCCCUCCUUUGUAGAAAAAAAAAUACGGGAGGAGGAGGAGGAGGAGGGUGAGGGAAAAAAAUGAAG